rnacentral:rRNA from 1 species
AACGAACGCUGGCGGCGUGGAUAAGACAUGCAAGUCGAACGCCUGUUACAGGGUAGCAAUAUUCUGUGGCAGGAGUGGCGCAAGGGUGCGUAACACGUGGGUUAUUUGCCGCGAAGUUGGGAACAACUCGUUGAAAGACGAGCUAAUACCUGAUGUGCUCCGCAAGGAGUAAAGCUGGGGAUCGUAAGACCUGGCGCUUCACGAUAAGCCCGCGGCCUAUCAGCUUGUUGGUGGGGUAACAGCCCACCAAGGCUAAGACGGGUAGCUGGUCUGAGAGGACGAUCAGCCACACUGGAACUGAGACACGGUCCAGACACCUACGGGUGGCAGCAGUCGAGAAUCUUUCACAAUGGGCGAAAGCCUGAUGGAGCGACGCCGCGUGGGGGAUGAAGGGCUUCGGUCUGUAAACCCCUGUCAUCUGUGAGCAAUGACAACGAUUUAAUAGAUCGUUGUUUGAUAGUAGCAGAAGAGGAAGGGACGGCUAACUCUGUGCCAGCAGCCGCGGUAAUACAGAGGUCCCAAGCGUUGUUCGGAUUCACUGGGCGUAAAGGGUGUGUAGGUGGUGGGAAAAGUUUGAUGUGAAAUCUCCGGGCUCAACCCGGAAACUGCAUUGAAAACUAUUCCACUAGAGGAUCGGAGGGGAGACUGGAAUUCUCGGUGUAGCAGUGAAAUGCGUAGAUAUCGAGAGGAACACCAGUGGCGAAGGCGAGUCUCUGGACGAUACCUGACGCUGAGGCACGAAAGCUAGGGGAGCAAACAGGAUUAGAUACCCUGGUAGUCCUAGCCGUAAACGGUGCACAUUUGCUAUGGGAGGAUUCGACCCCUUCCGUGGCGCAGCUAACGCGUUAAGUGCACCGCCUGGGGAGUACGGUCGCAAGAUUAAAACUCAAAGAAAUUGACGGGGGCCUGCACAAGCGGUGGAGUAUGUGGCUUAAUUCGAUGCAACGCGAAGAACCUUACCUGGGUUUGACAUGUAAGUGGAUAGAUCUGAAAGGUGAAUGACCCUCUUUGAGGGAGCUUACACAGGUGCUGCAUGGCUGUCGUCAGCUCGUGUCGUGAGAUGUUGGGUUAAGUCCCGCAACGAGCGCAACCCUCAUGUUCUGUUGCCACCCAAACGAGAGUUUGGAGCACUCCGAACAGACUGCCCCAUUUUAAUGGGGAGGAAGGUGGGGAUGACGUCAAGUCAGUAUGGCCCUUAUGUCCAGGGCUGCACACGUACUACAAUGCCCGGCACAAUGGGAAGCAAGACCGCAAGGUGGAGCCAAUCCCCAAAACCGGGCUCAGUUCAGAUUGUCGGCUGCAACUCGCCGGCAUGAAGGAGGAAUCGCUAGUAAUGGCGCAUCAGCUACGGCGCCGUGAAUACGUUCCCAGGCCUUGUACACACCGCCCGUCACAUCAUGAAAGCCGACGGUACCCGAAGUCUGCGCGCUAACCCGCAAGGGAAGCAGUGGCCGAAGAUGGCUGGUGAUUGGGAUG